rnacentral:rRNA from 1 species
AGCGAACGUUAGCGGCGGGCUUAACACAUGCAAGUCGAGCGAGAAAGGGGGCUUCGGUCCCCGAGUAAAGCGGCGGACGGGUGAGUAACACGUGGGUAAUCUACCCUUCAGCGGGGGACAACAGUCCGAAAGGACUGCUAAUACCGCAUACGUCAUGACGCCCUGCGGGGCGUUGUGGGAAAGCUGGCCUCUACUUGUAAGCUGGCACUGAAGGAGGAGCCCGCGUCGCAUCAGCUAGUUGGUGAGGUAAUGGCUCACCAAGGCAAAGACGCGUAGCUGGUCUGAGAGGAUGAUCAGCCACACUGGGACUGAGACACGGCCCAGACUCCUACGGGAGGCAGCAGUGGGGAAUAUUGGACAAUGGGCGAAAGCCUGAUCCAGCCACGCCGCGUGAGUGAUGAAGGCCCUCGGGUCGUAAAGCUCUGUGGAGAGGGACGAACCCUCCUCGGUUAACAGCCGGGGAGCUGACGGUACCUCUUUAGCAAGCACCGGCUAACUCCGUGCCAGCAGCCGCAGUAACAC